rnacentral:rRNA from 1 species
GACGAACGCUGGCGGCGUGCCUAACACAUGCAAGUCGAGCGGAGUCGAUCGACGGAAGCCUUCGGGCGGAAGAUGGUUGACUUAGCGGCGGAUGGGUGAGUAACGCGUGGGCAACCUGCCUCGAAGACCGGGAUAACAGUCCGAAAGGGCUGCUAAUACCGGAUGUGGUCAAGGAUCCGCAUGGAUUUUUGAUUAAAGGGGAAACCCGUUUCGAGAUGGGCCCGCGUCCUAUCAGCUAGUUGGUGAGGUAAAAGCUCACCAAGGCGACGACGGGUAGCCGGCCUGAGAGGGUGACCGGCCCGAGGGGCACUGAGAUACGGGUCCCACUCCUACGGGAGGCAGCAGGCUAGAAAUUUGGGCAAUGGGGGAAACCCUGACCCAGUGACGCCGCGUGCAGGAAGGAGCCCUUCGGAGUGUAAACUGCUGUCGUGUAGGGAGAAGGGUACUAAGGUGAACAAUCUUAGUACUUGACGGUACUACAGGAGGAAGCCCAGGCUAACCUCGUGCCAGCAGCCGCGGUAAUGCUACG